GAUGAACGCUGGCGGCGUGCCUAAUACAUGCAAGUCGAACGCAUAGCGAAAGGUGCUUGCCCCUUUCAAGUGAGUGGCGAACGGGUGAGUAACACGUGGACAACCUGCCUCAAGGCUGGGGAUAACAUUUGGAAACAGAUGCUAAUACCGAAUAAAACUUAGUGUCGCAUGACACAAAGUUAAAAGGCGCUUCGGCGUCACCUAGAGAUGGAUCCGCGGUGCAUUAGUUAGUUGGUGGGGUAAAGGCCUACCAAGACAAUGAUGCAUAGCCGAGUUGAGAGACUGAUCGGCCACAUUGGGACUGAGACACGGCCCAAACUCCUACGGGAGGCUGCAGUAGGGAAUCUUCCACAAUGGGCGAAAGCCUGAUGGAGCAACGCCGCGUGUGUGAUGAAGGCUUUCGGGUCGUAAAGCACUGUUGUAUGGGAAGAACAGCUAGAAUAGGAAAUGAUUUUAGUUUGACGGUACCAGACCAGAAAGGGACGGCUAAAUACGUG
rnacentral:rRNA from 1 species